rnacentral:rRNA from 1 species
GAGACUGCCUACGCAAGUAGUGAGGAAGGCGGGGAUGACGUCAAAUCAGCACGGCCCUUACGUCCAGGGCUACACACGUGCUACAAUGGCCGAUACAGAGGGCAGCUACCUGGUGACAGGAUGCAAAUCUCCAAAGUCGGUCUCAGUUCGGAUCGGAGUCUGCAACCCGACUCCGUGAAGUUGGAUUCGCUAGUAAUCGCGCAUCAGCCAUGGCGCGGUGAAUACGUUCCCGGGCCUU